AUGCUCUGGCUUCUCUUGAAAUCACAUAUAUCUUUCACCUUUUACUAAAGAUUUCUGUGGAGGGAAAUCUUCAUGAGUUCCUUAGCAAUUUUUUUAGGUCUUUCUUUCAUAAGGCU